AUUGAACGCUGGCGGCAGGCCUAACACAUGCAAGUCGAACGGCAGCGGGGGAUAGCUUGCUAUCCUGCCGGCGAGUGGCGGACGGGUGAGUAAUGCAUGGGGAGCUGCCCAAUCGAGGGGGAUAACAACUGGAAACGGUUGCUAAUACCGCAUACGCCCUGCGGGGGAAAGGUGGGGACCUUCGGACCUACCGCGAUUGGAUGCACCCAUGUGGGAUUAGCUAGUUGGUGAGGUAACGGCUCACCAAGGCGACGAUCUCUAGCUGGUCUGAGAGGAUGACCAGCCACACUGGAACUGAGACACGGUCCAGACUCCUACGGGAGGCAGCAGUGGGGAAUAUUGCACAAUGGGGGAAACCCUGAUGCAGCCAUGCCGCGUGUGUGAAGAAGGCCUUCGGGUUGUAAAGCACUUUCAGUGGGGAGGAAGGGCUGAUGACUAAUAUUCAUCAGCAUUGACGUUACCCACAGAAGAAGCACCGGCUAACUCCGUGCCAGCCGCCGCCGUAAUAC
rnacentral:rRNA from 1 species